rnacentral:rRNA from 1 species
AUGAACCCUUCACAGAUAAAGCUCACAACCAACCAGUUCAGAAAAAACAAAAGAAGAUGGAUGCUCGAGUUGCUGUACCCGAAGUUGUCUGAAGGAAUGAGAAAAAGAAAACAAGGAUUUUUGUCAACCUUGCAGACCUGUAAAUGCGCUGAAUUCUUCUAUGGAGCUAGCGCACCAGUCAAAGCACAGGUCGACAAUGACCAUAUGGAGCAAGUUAGUAUCAUGGCACACUACCUAGAACUCGAUCAAGCGCGCUACACUGGCUUCGACAAAGGUCCGGUCAGAUAUCAGGAAAAACAUCUUAACUGUAUCACAGAAGAUGUAUAUUUAUUUUCACGGAGCAUCAGUUACAAGUCUGCUCUUACCCAGCGCAAUUUGGUAUGCCAAUACAAGGUCAAAUAA